GUAGGGAAUCUUCGGCAAUGGACGAAAGUCUGACCGAGCAACGCCGCGUGAGUGAAGAAGGUUUUCGGAUCGUAAAACUCUGUUGGUAGAGAAGAACGUUGGUGAGAGUGGAAAGCUCAUCAAGUGACGGUAACUACCCAGAAAGGGACGGCUAACUACGUGCCAGCAGCCGCGGUAAUACGUAGGUCCCAAGCGUUGUCCGGAUUUAUUGGGCGUAAAGCGAGCGCAGGUGGUUUAUUAAGUCUGGUGUAAAAGGCAGUGGCUCAACCAUUGUAUGCAUUGGAAACUGGUAGACUUGAGUGCAGGAGAGGAGAGUGGAAUUCCAUGUGUAGCGGUGAAAUGCGUAGAUAUAUGGAGGAACACCGGUGGCGAAAGCGGCUCUCUGGCCUGUAACUGACACUGAGGCUCGAAAGCGUGGGGAGCAAACAGGAUUAGAUACCCGGGUAGUCC
rnacentral:rRNA from 1 species